AGCUCCAGUAGCGUAUAUUAAUGUUGCUGCAGUUAAAAAGCUCGUAGUUGGAUUUCUGGUGGAUGUGAGUUGUCCGCGUCUGACGUGAGUACAGCAAAAUCAUCCGUCAUCUAAUCACUUGCUCAGUUUUCGGACUGGGUGAGGAUUCUUUUACUUUGAAAAAAUUAGAGUGUUUAAAGCAGGCUAUCGCAACUGAAUACAUUAGCAUGGAAUAAUAAUAUAGGACUUCGAUUCUAUUUUGUUGGUUCUAGGAGUUGAAGUAAUGAUUGAUAGGGAUAGUUGGGGGUGCUAGUAUUGGACGGCCAGAGGUGAAAUUCUCAGAUUCGUUCAAGACUAACUUCUGCGAAAGCAUUCACCAAGGAUGUCU
rnacentral:rRNA from 1 species